rnacentral:tRNA from 1 species
UAAAAAGAUGCCUGAAAAAGGGCUAUUUUGAUGUAAUAGAUUAUGUUUUACUUGAAACUCUUUUU